UGGGGAAUUUUGGACAAUGGGGGGAAACCCUGAUCCAGCCAUCCCGCGUGUGCGAUGAAGGCCUUCGGGUUGUAAAGCACUUUUGGCAGGAAAGAAACGUCGCGGGUUAAUACCCCGCGAAACUGACGGUACCUGCAGAAUAAGCACCGGCUAACUACGUGCCAGCAGCCGCGGUAAUACGUAGGGUGCAAGCGUUAAUCGGAAUUACUGGGCGUAAAGCGUGCGCAGGCGGUUCGGAAAGAAAGAUGUGAAAUCCCAGAGCUUAACUUUGGAACUGCAUUUUUAACUACCGGGCUAGAGUGUGUCAGAGGGAGGUGGAAUUCCGCGUGUAGCAGUGAAAUGCGUAGAUAUGCGGAGGAACACCGAUGGCGAAGGCAGCCUCCUGGGAUAACACUGACGCUCAUGCACGAAAGCGUGGGGAGCAAACAGGAUUAGAUACCCUGGUAGUCCACGCCCUAAAACGAUGUCAACUAGCUGUUGGGGGCCUUCGGGCCUUGGUAGCGCAGCUAACGCGUGAAGUUGACCGCCUGGGGGAGUACGGUCGCAAGAUUAAAAACUCAAAGGAAUUGACGGGGGUCAUAGCUGUUUU
rnacentral:rRNA from 1 species